UACGUAGGUGGCAAGCGUUGUCCGGAUUUAUUGGGCGUAAAGCGCGCGCAGGUGGUUCGUUGCGUCCGAGGUGAAAUCUCCCGGCUCAACUGGGAGGGGUCUUCGGAUACGGGCGGACUUGAGGAGAGCAGAGGUAGGCGGAAUGCUGGGUGUAGUGGUGAAAUGCGUAGAGAUCCGGAGGAACCCCUGAGGCGAAGGCGGCGUCCUGGCGCACUUCUGACGUUCAGACACGACAGCAUGGGGAGCGAACGGG
rnacentral:rRNA from 1 species